rfam:TPA: Bos taurus chromosome 3, whole genome shotgun sequence.
UCCCUGGUGGCUCAGAGGGUAAAAGCGUCUGUCUACAAUGCUGGAGACCCGGGUUCAAUCCCUGGGUCGGGAA